GACGAACGCUGGCUGCGUGCUUAACACAUGCAAGUCGAACGGAAAGGCCCUGCUUUUGUGGGGUGCUCGAGUGGCGAACGGGUGAGUAACACGUGAGUAACCUGCCCUUGACUUUGGGAUAACUUCAGGAAACUGGGGCUAAUACCGGAUAGGAGCUCCUGCUGCAUGGUGGGGGUUGGAAAGUUUCGGCGGUUGGGGAUGGACUCGCGGCUUAUCAGCUUGUUGGUGGGGUAGUGGCUUACCAAGGCUUUGACGGGUAGCCGGCCUGAGAGGGUGACCGGCCACAUUGGGACUGAGAUACGGCCCAGACUCCUACGGGAGGCAACAGUGGGGAAUAUUGCACAAUGGGCGGAAGCCUGAUGCAGCAACGCCGCGUGCGGGAUGACGGCCUUCGGGUUGUAAACCGCUUUCGCCUGUGACGAAGCGUGAGUGACGGUAAUGAGUAAAGAAGCACCGGCUAACUACGU
rnacentral:rRNA from 1 species